rfam:Schistosoma rodhaini strain Burundi genome assembly, scaffold: SROB_scaffold0024016
UCACUGCUGAGUUGUCCCAUAAUAGGACGAAACGGCCGUCCAGUGU